GGGUCAAUGAUGAGAACUCAAAUGGCCUCGAAGACAGCGGAUGACCUAAAAAUUAUGUUCAAUAGGAUUAUGCUGAGGACC
ensembl:snoRNA SNORD115 Small nucleolar RNA SNORD115